rnacentral:rRNA from 1 species
AUUGGUCAAUGGACGAGAGUCUGAACCAGCCAAGUCGCGUGAGGGAAGACUGCCCUAUGGGUUGUAAACCUCUUUUAUAAGGGAAGAAUAAGUUCUACGUGUAGAAUGAUGCCUGUACCUUAUGAAUAAGCAUCGGCUAACUCCGUGCCAGCAGCCGCGGUAAUACGGAGGAUGCGAGCGUUAUCCGGAUUUAUUGGGUUUAAAGGGUGCGUAGGCGGUUUAUUAAGUUAGUGGUUAAAUAUUUGAGCUAAACUCAAUUGUGCCAUUAAUACUGGUAAACUGGAGUACAGACGAGGUAGGCGGAAUAAGUUAAGUAGCGGUGAAAUGCAUAGAUAUAACUUAGAACUCCGAUAGCGAAGGCAGCUUACCAGACUGUAACUGACGCUGAUGCACGAGAGCGUGGGUAGCGAACAGGAUUAGAUACCCUGGUAGUCCACGCCGUAAACGAUGCUCACUGGUUCUGUGCGAUAUAUUGUACGGGAUUAAGCGAAAGUAUUAAGUGAGCCACCUGGGGAGUACGUCGGCAACGAUGAAACUCAAAGGAAUUGACGGGGGCCCGCACAAGCGGAGGAACAUGUGGUUUAAUUCGAUGAUACGCGAGGAACCUUACCUGGGUUUAAAUGGGAAAUGUCGUAUUUGGAAACAGAUAUUCUCUUCGGAGCGUUUUUCAAGGUGCUGCAUGGUUGUCGUCAGCUCGUGCCGUGAGGUGUCGGGUUAAGUCCCAUAACGAGCGCAACCCUUACCGUUAGUUGCUAGCAUGUAAUGAUGAGCACUCUAACGGGACUGCCACCGUAAGGUGAGAGGAAGGCGGGGAUGACGUCAAAUCAGCACGGCCCUUACACCCAGGGCUACACACGUGUUACAAUGGCCGGUACAGAGGGCCGCUACCAGGUGACUGGAUGCCAAUCUCAAAAGCCGGUCGUAGUUCGGAUUGGAGUCUGUAACCCGACUCCAUGAAGUUGGAUUCGCUAGUAAUCGCGCAUC